UGGAAUUUAAAAGUAGGGUGGCUGCGGGAACAAAAGAGUGUUUAUAUCUGUUGGUUUUGAGUCGUGGGAGUUUAAAGCGUGAUCCGGAUGGCAACAUCUGAAAUUCAGCCUGUAGGGGAUGAGAACUAUUUGACAGGAUAGAUUCAACCCUUUUUAUCAUCUGCUUCUGAUAAAGUUCCUCCAGGCCUUUCUGAUUAGAACCUGUGAUCCGGCUGCUCACCUUAACUAGGGAGUUCUUUUGUUUUACGGUGAUAGACCCAUACCAGCAGAUUAAGGAGAAGGUGACAACUGACUCAACAAAGGACCUAUAGAAAAGGGUCAUCAGGGUCCACAUUAAACUUGGCCAGCUUCCCAAGGCAAUACAGGCGUAUUGGCCGUAUGGCCUUUCUUGCAAAGAAAGCUGGUAUUUCGCUCAAAUCACAACUUGUCGUCAAUAAUGGAUCCUAAGUAUUUGUACUCUUUAAGCACCUCGAUUUCCUAACCUUUUAUGCAGGUUUUUACCUAGUUAACUCAUUGGCUGCCAAUGACGUCUAUAGACGUCAAUUUAAAUACAACCGUUGACUGCCAAUGACGUCUAUAGACGUCAAUUAGGUUUUUCAACGGGGCGGGCUGGGGAGCGAUCUGGAGCACCUUGUCACAAAAAAUCAGGCUUGUAAACAGAGAAUGUACUACCGAACUGAGCCGCUAGGUGGGUGGGGGCGCUGUGCCAAAUUGGAUCGGAGAUGAGGAAACAGUAGCCUAAUGGGUUAAGAAAGUGAGCAUGGCGCCCGCGAAACGUAAGCAAAAUUUCAGACUGCUAACACUCGAACAGAGUAUGUGUCUCAGUGUCGCUAUCGACUCGGUUGGUUGCGAUAAAGCCUCUGACAAAAAAAACCCGGGCCAAUAGAGAGAGUAGGCCUACGCAGCGUAUUUCCACCUCCGAAUCAUCAGGAGAUGAUUCAGCGAACCUGACCCGGAUUCGUCAGAUGAGUGGUUGCCGUCAACCGGGAACAGCAGAGCCUCAUCCCCUGACGCGUCUCCAGGAAGACGUGAGGGAGGUAAGAGCUAACUUUACCCUUCUCUCCUCCUUCAGUCCGUCACAUGAACGCCAUUUAGUCCCAUUAGUUCAUUACUGCAGCUAAUAUGUGUUGCCAGUAGCCUACUGAUGUGAAGGGAUUUACAAUUUACAGAUCGUGCGUCCAGCAGAGCUCACACUCCCACUCCCACUGUUAGCUUCAGUCCAUGUCCCAUUGAACGCCAUUUAGUCCCACUAGUUCAUAUUGUAACAUCUGUUGCCAGCCUACUGAUGUGAAGCAAUUUUCAAUUUACAGAUCAUGCAUCCAGCAGAGCUCCCAAUCCUGUUGGCAAAGCGAAGAAGAAAGGUCGUGCAUCCAGCAGAGCUCCGACUCCUAUUGGCAAAGCGAAGAAGAAAGGUCGUGCAUCAAGCAGAGGUUGCGGGUAUGACUGGCAUCAAGCUGGCUGGCACCCAAACAAUUUCCCCUUCACUGCAACCCCUGGACCCCGGAGGGCUGCUGCGGAGCUGGAUAGCGACCUGCCAGCUGACUUCCUGACGCUCUUCCUGACUGACGAGCUGCUCCAAAAUAUUGUGGAUCAGACCAACCUGUAUAUCAAUAUUUUGAAGCACACCCUGACAAUCUGCCAUAUAGCAGAGGAAAUGCAUGAAAACCAGUGUCAGUCCCAGAAUUGAAAACUUUCUUUGGACUCAGUUUUCUCACUGGUUAUAUCAAAAAGCCUAGCCUUGAACUGUACUGGAGUGUUGAUGAGGUAGAUGCCACACCCCAUUUCGGCAAGACUAUGCCAAGGAACAGAUUUCAGAUUAUAUGGAGGUUCCUUCAUUUCAACAAUAAUGCAUCACAGGAUGCAACUGACAAAAUGUACAAAGUCCGCCCAGUGUUAGAUUACAUUGUGGAAAAGUAAAAGGAGAUGUAUCAACCAGGCCAAAACAUUUGCAUUGAUGAGGGUAUGAUGCAGUGGCGGGGGCGCCUGUCUUUCAGGGUGUAUAACCCACAAAAGCCUGUGAAAUAUGGAAUCAAAUCCUACAUACUGUGUGACUCUGCCACAGGGUACUGCUUCAAUAUGCGUCCUUAUGUUGGGGAAGCUAGUACUCUGCCAGAGAUAGUGUUCUUUCUCCUUGAUAGUCUACCAGGUCAUGGCUAUACAUUGUUCAUGGAUAACUUCUACAAUUCUGUAGCACUGUGUGAACGUUUACUGGGAGUGCAAACCAACGUCUGUGGAACACUGAGGAAACAUAGGGGGGAACCUCAGAUCAUCAGCGAGAUGACAAAGACUGACUUGGGGGUGGGGGAAAAAGUUGUGCGGCACAAUGAGAGGGUGAUGGUAGUAGCAUGGCAGGACAAACGGUUGGUGAGGAUGGUGACUACCUGCCACCAAGAUAGCAUGCAGAGGGUUGAUGUGUGGAGGAGGGGAAACAAAGACAAGGUUGCUCAGCUCAAGCCAGAGUGUGUUGUUGUGUACAAUGCAUCCAUGAAUGGGGUAGACAAGUUGGACCAAAAUAUUGCAUACUAUCCCUUCAUCCGAAGAUCGCUGAACUGUUCAAAGAAGUUUGUAGCCUAUCUCUUCCAACUAUGCAUUUUUAACGCCUAUGUCCUCUACCGAGCCAGAAACCCAGGGGAGUGUAAAAUCCUCUUGGACAGUAAAGCGACAUGUGGGGGGUU